rnacentral:rRNA from 1 species
CAAGCCUGAUCCAGCAAUGCCGCGUGCAGGAUGAAGGCCUUCGGGUUGUAAACUGCUUUUGUACGGAACGAAAAGCCUCUCUCUAAUACAGGGGGGUGAUGACGGUACCGUAAGAAUAAGCACCGGCUAACUACGUGCCAGCAGCCGCGGUAAUACGUAGGGUGCAAGCGUUAAUCGGAAUUACUGGGCGUAAAGGGCGCGUAGGCGGAUCGUUAAGUCAGAGGUGAAAUCCCAGGGCUCAACCCUGGAACUGCCUUUGAUACUGGCGAUCUUGAGUAUGAGAGAGGUAUGUGGAACUCCGAGUGUAGAGGUGAAAUUCGUAGAUAUUCGGAAGAACACCAGUGGCGAAGGCGACAUACUGGCUCAUUACUGACGCUGAGGCGCGAAAGCGUGGGGAGCAAACA